rnacentral:misc_RNA from 1 species
GCAGGGUGCAAAGUAGGUCCUGCUCCAGGUGUGCUGUUGUUGCAGCAAAGUGCAACAGGAGGGUUCCUGGGAGUGGUACACACAGAUUGCUUCAUCGGCCCUACAUUCAUUCAAUGCUUGCUAUAGCUGCCGUUUGCGUUUGCGUGUGCCUAUUUUUGCGAGGUUCCCCGGACAUUGGUUUAGUUGCACCCUUCAAAUGGGAGAACUUGGGCUAUGGGACAAUUUAGUUUGAAUGGACUUGGAGAUGGAGUGAGGUGCUGAACAGAA